rnacentral:rRNA from 1 species
CCUACGGGAGGCAGCAGUGAGGAAUAUUGGUCAAUGGCCGGAAGGCUGAACCAGCCAAGCCUCGUGAGUGAGGCAGGCUCAGAGCGUCUCAGACCUCUUUUGCCGGGGGACAAAAGUCCCGGCUCGUCCGGUCCUGAGGGUACCCGGAUAACAAGCAUCGGCCAACACCGUGCCAGCAGCCGCGGUAAUACGGAGGAUUCGAGCGUUUUCCGGAUUCAUGGGGUUUAAUGGGUGCGCAGACGGGCCUUCAGGCCGGCGGUGAAAUCGCGGGGCUCAACCCCGCCUAGCCGGCGGAACUGGGGGCCUUGAGUGCGGCGGAGGCAUGCGGAAUGCGCGGUGUAGCGGUGAAAGGCAUAGAUA